CAACCGGGAUUGCCUUAGUAACGGCGAGUGAAGCGGCAAAAGCUCAAAUUUGAAAUCUGGCGUCUUCGACGUCCGAGUUGUAAUUUGAAGAAGGCAACUUUGUAGCUGGUCCUUGUCUAUGUUCCUUGGAACAGGACGUCAUAGAGGGUGAGAAUCCCGUGUGGCGAGGAUCCCAGUUAUUUGUAAAGUGCUUUCGACGAGUCGAGUUGUUUGGGAAUGCAGCUCUAAGUGGGUGGUAAAUUCCAUCUAAAGCUAAAUAUUGGCGAGAGACCGAUAGCGAACAAGUACAGUGAUGGAAAGAUGAAAAGAACUUUGAAAAGAGAGUGAAAAAGUACGUGAAAUUGUUGAAAGGGAAGGGCAUUUGAUCAGACAUGGCGUUUGCUUCGGCUUUCGCUGGGCCAGCAUCAGUUUUAGCGGUUGGAUAAAUCCUCGGGAAUGUGGCUCUGCUUCGGUAGAGUGUUAUAGCCCGUGGGAAUACAGCCAGCUGGGACUGAGGAUUGCGACUUUUGUCAAGGAUGCUGGCGUAAUGGUUAAAUGCC
rnacentral:rRNA from 1 species